AACGCAUAUUGCGCCCAUUAGUAUUCUAGUGGGCAUGCCUGUUCGAGCGUCAUUUACAACCCUCAAGUAGCUUUUUUUACUUGGCGUUGGGCGAUUGCGUUUCUAUGUAACGCCUGAAAACCAGUGGCAGGAUCUAGUCAUCUCUGAGCGUAGUAGUGUAUUCAAAUCGCUUUGGUCAGAUGUCUAGUUGCUCGCCUACUCUAUAAACAUUUAAGAUUUGACCUCGGAUCAGGUAGGAAUACCCGCUGAACUUAA
rnacentral:misc_RNA from 1 species